rnacentral:lncRNA from 1 species
GUUUGCCAAUUAUGGUAGAAAACUCUUGGCCCGGAAAUGAGUGCUCUCAAGAGCAGUCACGUUCUCCACAUAUGCUACAGUAAAGAGAGAGGGUCCUGUGAUAACCCCAAGGAGAGCAAGCUGAGUAAUUGGAUUCCCUCCUGUGCAGUUCCCUAAUCACCAGAGCCAGAUGCAAGAUACAUGAAGCCAUCCCCUGAGCUUCAAAAGGGAAGACCUCUCUUUCACAGCCAGAUCAAGUGCAGCACUAUAAACAAAGCCAGAUUCUUUUCUUUCUUUUUAACCAACGGAUGAAGAGGCAGUUUUCAUAAGGCUCUUGAUCAAGAUUCAAAAUUCCUGCUCACAAUUGUUUUUCAAUAUUUAUUCUAGAAAACAGUUCAGUGCUUGAUAAAAGUAAACGCUCAAAUUCACUUCCAGAACCAAAAGUACACACGUGCGAGCAUGUAUAUGGAGGUCAUGGUUAAGAAAAUGACAAGAAUAUCACAGAAUAAUGACAGAGUUCAGAAUUAUAUUUAAAUGUUAGCUAUAUAUUUAGGAUAAAAAUAUUCUCUCUUGGACGUAUAUCCAAUUUCACAAAUAUUUAAUGACUAAACUGUGAGGUUAACUACUUUAAGUAACACCUUUGUAAUUAUUCAGCCUCAAUGGCCAUUUUCCAAUCACAGAAAAUGUCUUUAAUACAUAACCUUGACAUUCAUACAGAUUUUUAAAGUGUGGUAGGUAGCAUAUUAUCAUUUGUUAACAAAACAGAUCUUGAACGCUUUUUUGUAUGAAUUUUUUGUGUAUUAGUUGUGCCCAUUUGCGAACUAUCCCUCAUUUGUAUUCUUGGUCCGCAGCUGGUGGUGCUGUUUGGGGAGGCUUAGAAUUUAUUUAUGGUCUCACUGCAAAAGUGUGUCAUGAAAGGUGAGAUUGGGGAGUUUACCAACUCUUGCCAAAUUGAGUUUAUUCUCUGUGCAUUGAGUUUAUGGUUGAGACUUGCUCUCAGCUUCCUGCGACUGCCACCCUGCCUGCUAUUUUCUGUCGUUGCUCCCCACUUAGAUGAACUCAUAUCCCCCUAGAUUUAUAAGACAAAAAAGCCCUUCUUCCUCUAUGAAUUGUUUCGGCCAUUGUGUUUUAUCACAGCAACAUUCAAGUAACUAAUUUACCCUUUCCAGAGUGAAAGGCAAGGAACGGCACAGAGCUCUGUGCCUAUCAAGUAGACCCUUCGUUCCUUGCCUGAGUUGUGGCUUAGUUUUGUUGCGUUCAAUUUCAUACACGAAGCUCCUAAAAAUGAUACGAUUAUUGAUUAUUAAGUAGUAAUCUUAUGAGUAUAUAUUUAAGCACUAUAUUCAUGAGCAUAUAAUUUUGAAACAGAAGGCUUAUUAUUUUGGAGCACUAUUAAUGGAAGACUUUUUUUUUUUUCAUAUUCUGUGAAGAAUGGCUUAGCUUGCUUUCCAAACUUGCCUUAAAUUGUAUUCUAAUUGUAAAUUAGUUGGAGAAUUCCCCUCUGUUACAAAAUUUUAUAAUUUUGGAUGACUUUAUGAUGUGAUAAACUGCAGAAUGAGGAAGCUGGGCCAAAUCACUGAACUUGUUUUCAAUAUGAGUAAGUCCUGGAAUUAUCCCUCUAGCCCCACGAAUCUGGAUGGUAUCUUUGUUUCCCUACAGCCCUGCAAAAAUGUAAGAAGCAAUUGUUAGUGAUUGGGGGGCAGGGGGUGGGGAACCCUGUCUGCCAGCUGAGACAAGAAUUUGGGACCAGCUUUGCUAGCCUGCUUGCAAGAGCCUAAAAACCCCAUGACAAGGGAAGCCUCUGGCCAUCAUUAACUACUAAACAUUCCUGUGGUUCAUUUGAAGGCAAAUCUGUAGUAGUCAGCAGAGGAUCUAUGUGACCACAUCUGAGGCUUGGAAUUUUUGAGUUCCUGCACACAAUGAGACACUGGGAGCCAUAGCCUUGCAGAUGCAUGGAAGAAGGUGGCAGCUUCCUUCCCAUCUGGUGUUUUACAGCAUUUCAGCUCACAGUUCACUUUAAAGGGAAAUAGGAUGGCAAAAAAAAAAAAAAAAAAAAGCCACAGUCUUGUGAUGUUUAGGCUAAGCCAUCGAAGCCAAAGUACGGCUUAGGAACAAAUUAAAUACAGAAUAAGAACAGAAUCCAAACAUAAAUAAAACAAACCCAAGGGAAGCUUCUCACUUUAAUGAAAGCCUGGGCUAAAUAUGACUUGCCCAGCAGCAACUACAUAAUGACAACAGGCUCUCGUCUGAGCAUCAGUGUGUACCUAUGGGUUUCUCCUUCCCACGCUAAAUUCAGUGGCAAUUCUCCUACAGUUUAAUAAUUUAUUUACCUAGCUUAUUUUAACUACAGAAUAUAUUGACUAAGACAUUUUCUAUACUUUUUUUCUUGUUUAUUUUUUUGUUAAAAACAAACUUAAAAAUGCCUCAAGGGAAAGAAUUUUAAAAAGCUUUAUUCUAUUUUAAGUCCAUAGGCUUGUAGCAGGAACUCAACAUACAAUAAUUAGAGAAAUAUUAAAUUAUUAAUUUAUUUAUAUUUUAUAGAGGGGAUGGCAUACUUUAGUUAUUAAACAGAGUAAUAUAUAUUUACUCUAUUUUUU